UCCCAAGCAUGCCCUUUCAUUUUACUGUCUGAUGUCCUGAUGUGUUCUUUUAUUUCUUUCCUAAAUAACUGCUUUCUUGCACAGCAUAGAUGUGGAUGGUGGCUGAACUACUGCUGUAAACUUGUACCCAGGCUGUUUAACUGAGAAUAUCCCAGUGCUGACCCCAGCCCACAAGCCAGCUUCUGUUUCUGCUAAAGGCACUGCAAGUCUGGCAUCAGGAAC